AAGUUUGUGAUGAUUAGCUUUAUGUUCGAAUUACUGUCAAAUUCCGAAUGACGAUAUUUUUGUGGCUUUCUGAGGCUUAAA
rnacentral:snoRNA from 3 species